rnacentral:rRNA from 1 species
GACGUAGGGCGCGAGCGUUGUCCGGAUUUAUUGGGCGUAAAGAGCUCGUAGGCGGCUCGUUGCGUCGGCUGUGAAAACCCGCAGCUCAACUGUGGGCUUGCAGCUGAUACGGGCGGGCUGGGAUUCGGUAGGGGAGACUGGAAUUCCUGGUGUAGCGGUGAAAUGCGCAGAUAUCAGGAAGAACACCCGUGGCGAAAGCGGCUCUCUGGAACGGUACUGACGCUGAGACGCGAAAGCGUGGGGAGCGAACAGG